AGGGUCCGUAGGCGGUUUAAUAAGUCAGUGGUGAAAGCCCAUCGCUCAACGGUGGAACGGCCAUUGAUACUGUUAAACUUGAAUUAUUAGGAAGUAACUAGAAUAUGUAGCGUAGCGGUGAAAUGCUUAGAGAUUACAUGGAAUACCAAUUGCGAAGGCAGGUUACUACUAAUGGAUUGACGCUGAUGGACGAAAGCGUGGGUAGCGAACAGGAUUAGAUACCCUGGUAGUCCACGCCGUAAACGAUGGAUACUAGCUGUUGGGAGCAAUCUCAGUGGCUAAGCGAAAGUGAUAAGUAUCCCACCUGGGGAGUACGUUCGCAAGAAUGAAACUCAAAGGAAUUGACGGGGGCCCGCACAAGCGGUGGAGCAUGUGGUUUAAUUCGAUGAUACGCGAGGAACCUUACCAAGGCUUAAAUGUAGUUUGACCGAUUUGGAAACAGAUCUUUCGCAAGACAAAUUACAAGGUGCUGCAUGGUUGUCGUCAGCUCGUGCCGUGAGGUGUCAGGUUAAGUCCUAUAACGAGCGCAACCCCUGUUGUUAGUUGCCAGCGAGUCAUGUCGGGAACUCUAACAAGACUGCCAGUGUAAACUGUGAGGAAGGUGGGGAUGACGUCAAAUCAUCACGGCCCUUACGCCUUGGGCUACACACGUGCUACAAUGGCCGGUACAGAGAGCAGCCACUGGGUGACCAGGAGCGAAUCUACAAAACCGGUCACAGUUCGGAUCGGA
rnacentral:rRNA from 1 species